GGGAUAGUUUACCAAGAUGGCUUCAGAGUAGACUAACUUUACACAGCACAUUUAAAAAAGACACAUUUAUUCAGCGUCAUGAGCAGACUAUUACAUUUAGCAAUCAACAGCAUGGUCCUGGAGUUUUUUGCCCAUACAUAUGAGUAUUGUCUAAAACAUGUCUUCUUUGUAGCAGCUAGGCCCUGCCACCACUGUGCUUGGCUGAGUUCACAAAUCUGUUGUAACCUGUAGCUUCCCUGUCACUUCUCUGGCUCUCCUCUCCUGCUAAGCUUUGUUUCCUGGCAGUAAUUAAAACCUUCUGCCACUGCCAUAGCUACUGCUGCUGCUGGAACCGCCAUAGCCACCUUGGUUUUGUGGUUUGCAAAAGUAUUGGCCUCCACCACCACAGGGGCCAGAGCUUCUGCCUCCAAAAUUUCCUCCUUUCAUGGGUCCAAAAUUUGAAGAUUGAUUGUUGUAAUUUCCAAAAUCAUUGUAGCUUCCGCCACCUCCAAAAUUGCUUCCAUCAUUACCAAAUCCAUUAUAGCCAUCCCCACGCCACCAUAUCCACCACCACCACGGCUGCCACCAAAGCCACCUCGACCACGGAAGUUUCCUCCGCGACCAAAGUUGUCAUUCCCACCAAAACCACCUCCACGACCACCGCCAAAAUUUCCAGAACCACUUCGACCUCUCUGGCUGGAUGAAGCACUAGCCAUCUCUUGCUUAGAUAGGGCUUUCCUUACUUCACAGUUGUGGCCAUUCACAGUAUGGUAUUUCUGAAUGACAAUCUUGUCUACGGAGCCAUGGUCAUCAAAAGUUACAAAAGCAAAUCCUCUCUUCUUGCCACUGCCUCUGUCAGUCAUGAUUUCAAUCACUUCAAUUUUCCCAUAUUGUUCAAAAUAAUCUCUUAGGUGAUGUUCUUCAGUGUCUUCUUUAAUGCCACCAACAAAAAUCUUUUUCACAGUUAAGUGGGCACCAGGUCUUUGAGAAUCUUCUCUUGAGACGGCCCUCUUUGGUUCCACAACUCGUCCAUCCACCUUGUGUGGCCUUGCAUUCAUAGCUGCAUCCACCUCCUCCACAGUGGCUUAC
ensembl:lncRNA